rnacentral:tRNA from 1 species
GUUUAUGUGGUGUAUUUAAGCACAUAAGGUUUUCAUCCUUAAAGAGAAAGGUUUAUUUCCAUAAAUU